UUCUAAUUCAUGAUUUCGUGACAUCACGUAACGACUACGGACAAUUUGCGAUUCUAAUUCGUUAAAGGCACUCGAUACCUCUCGUUUUGAAAUGUCAAAUUAGUCGAGACCACCGGAGAUCCCGAUUAUGGAAAUCUAACCUCAAUUUUUUGAUGAGCGUCCGGCUUUUGCUUAAAAAAAAACAUGUCAUUUAAAAUUAAUGAAAACCAUUUACGAGUAUUUGUGGAGUUUAUGGAAGAAAACCCGGAUUUAGCAAGAGGGAGGUUAUCUUGCUCCAAUGCAAAAGAACAAUUUAAGAGAUUAUGGGCAAAACUGGCCAAUAAUCUAAAUUCUCUUGGUUAUGGGACUAGAACUAUAGAAAAAUGGCAAAGGACGUGGUCUGACUAUAAACAGGGACUUAAGAGAAGAGCUGCAGAUAUAAAAAGGGAGCGAAUGAAGACGGGGGGUGGGCCAGCAUAUCCUGAUAUGCUAUCAGAUACUGAUCAAAGAGUUAUCCUUAUUUUGGGAAAAACAUAUUUUGAAGGAUGUGGAGUGGAGGAGAAGGGUGUAAGUUGCAUUUUUUGGCUUAAGAAACAAAGGCAUUAUUAUAUUGUCCGAUAUUUUUGUAUUGUAUAAUAUUUUAAGUUUGCUCAUGGAAAAUAUUAUCCAGAGGAAGAACCCGUUAGUGGUCCAUCGAGUGCUCCAUCAAGUAUAGUGGAUGCUCGGUUCAAUGGUAGUUUAUACAAUAGUGAAUACACACAGCCCGGACCCUCAAAUAUUUCUAUGCAGAUUCCUACAGAAAAUAAAGCAUUAGAAGAACAAACCAACAAGCCACGACCACAAAAAAGGAGUAUUUCACAACAGCUUCAUGUAGUCGAUCAUGAUUAUUUAGUCACACCAAGAACUAAAAGGCAAAAGGUUACUCCCACAAAUGAAAUCUAUUAUCAAGAGACAAUAAAUCUAUUAAAAAGUAUCGACAGUCAUUUAGAAACCCUAAAUCAUACCCUAAAUGAAAAAUUAGGCGAUAUAACAGAGGCCAUCAGACAGAGACACUCUUAAAGGAACUUUCACUUUUUAGGGAUGAUA